rnacentral:rRNA from 1 species
UGGGGAAUAUUGGACAAUGGGCGGAAGCCUGAUCCAGCCAUGCCGCGUGUGUGAAGAAGGCCUUUUGGUUGUAAAGCACUUUAAGCGAGGAGGAGGCUCUUCUAGUUAAUACCUAGGAUGAGUGGACGUUACUCGCAGAAUAAGCACCGGCUAACUCUGUGCCAGCAGCCGCGGUAAUACAGAGGGUGCGAGCGUUAAUCGGAUUUACUGGGCGUAAAGCGUGCGUAGGCGGCUGAUUAAGUCGGAUGUGAAAUCCCUGAGCUUAACUUAGGAAUUGCAUUCGAUACUGGUCAGCUAGAGUAUGGGGGAGGAUGGUAGAAUUCCAGGUGUAGCGGUGAAAUGCGUAGAGAUCUGGAGGAAUACCGAUGGCGAAGGCAGCCAUCUGGCCUAAUACUGACGCUGAGGUACGAAAGCAUGGGGAGCAAACAGG